rnacentral:piRNA from 1 species
UCUUCUGACCUGCAAGCAUAUACGC